CUGCACAGAGCACCACAUAGGCAGAGAAUCACGCAAUCAAACCAAAGUGAGAGACCAAGAGAGAUGGCGUCCAAGGCAUUCCCUGCUCUGGUCCUUCUGGCGCUCGUCUGCGGCCAGCUUGUGGUCGACGGCCAUGCCCAGCCCUACACCGGCGGCGGCCGCAUCAGGGGAGGAGGAUCUGCUCCCGGAAUGCAGCCACCGACUUACCCCACUGCCCAUGCCCACUCCUCCACCAUUGGAGAAUACGAUGGAGCUGGAAGGCCUUCAGCCGUGGAAGAAGACAAGGCCUUCAUGGUCAACAGCCUGCCGGCGCACGACCGCCCGCUGCCUGUCCCGCCUUCCGCUCACUAGUCCGUCGAGGCAACGCAGUCGAGCUUGAGAUCAGCGGCCCAGUGGCCAGCACUAAUAAUAGGAAUAAAUUUGUGUGAAGUUGUCCUGUGGUGACUCUGUUUCUGUCAUCAGGGGUGUAAAAGUAGAGUACACCGAACUACUAAUAAAAGUACUGUUGAGAAAGUUGGGACUUCACAGUGGUUUCAAGAGAACAUAUAUAAGUUUGUUCCAAAAUUCCGUUUACAUCUUACCAUGAACAUAAUAUGGAUGUAU